rnacentral:rRNA from 1 species
UACGUAGGCAGCGAGCGUUGUUCGGAGUUACUGGGCGUAAAGCGUGCGUAGGCGGUUUCUUAAGUUUGUUGUGAAAUCUCCCGGCUUAACCGGUAGGGUGCGGCGAAUACUGAGAUGCUGGAGUGCCGGAGAGGUAAGCGGAAUUCCUGGUGUAGCGGUGAAAUGCGUAGAUAUCAGGAGGAACACCUGCGGUGUAGACGGCUUACUGGGCGGUAACUGACGCUGAGGCACGAAAGCGUGGGUAGCAAACAGG